rnacentral:misc_RNA from 1 species
AAGGAUCAUUACCACACCUAAAAAACUUUCCACGUGAACUGUCGUUAUUUGUUGUGUGUCUGUGCGUGCUGGCGUGUGUUUGCGGCCUCUGUAUUGAGACUGCGAGUGCGUGCUGGCGUGCGCGGACUGAACGAAGGUCGUGUCGCUGUGCGUCUGCUGAUCUGCUGUGCUUUACUUUUGUAUCGCGCGGCGGUGUUGCGGGUGCUGUGCGUGCGGCUGACUUAUUUUUCAACCCCCAUACCUAAAAUACUGAUCAUACUGUGAGAACGAAAGUUCUUGCUUUUAACUAGAUAACAACUUUCAGCAGUGGAUGUCUAGGCUCGC